rnacentral:rRNA from 1 species
CAGCAGUGGGGAAUCUUGCGCAAUGGGCGAAAGCCUGACGCAGCCAUGCCGCGUGAAUGAUGAAGGUCUUAGGAUUGUAAAAUUCUUUCACCGGGGACGAUAAUGACGGUACCCCGGAGAAGAAGCCCCGGCUAACUUCGUGCCAGCAGCCGCGGUAAUACGAAGGGGGCUAGCGUUGCUCGGAAUUACUGGGCGUAAAGGGAGCGUAGGCGGACUGUUUAGUCAGAGGUGAAAGCCCAGGGCUCAACCUUGGAAUUGCCUUUGAUACUGGCAGUCUUGAGUACGGAAGAGGUAUGUGGAACUCCGAGUGUAGAGGUGAAAUUCGUAGAUAUUCGGAAGAACACCAGUGGCGAAGGCGACAUACUGGUCCGUUACUGACGCUGAGGCUCGAAAGCGUGGGGAGCAAACAGGAUUAGAUACCCUGGUAG